GAGCAUCUCCAUCCACUCCCUCCUGAGGUAGUGACAGACCCUGUGCUGCUUGUGCACCUGCUCCUGAACGCCUAUCCUCCUGCCCAACGAGAUGUCCUGCCAGCAGAGCCAGCAGUGCGUCCCCAAGUGCCCUCCCAAGUGCUGCACCCCAAAAUGCCCUCCUAAGUGUUCCCCCAAGUGCCCUCCAGUCUCUUCUUGCUGCAGUGUCAGCUCUGGGGGCUGCUGUGGCUCUGGGGGUGGUGGCUGCUGUAGCUCUGGGGGUGGUGGCUGCUGCAGCUCUGGGGGUGGUGGCUGCUGCCUGAGCCACCACAAGCCCCGCAGGUCUCACCGCUUCAGACACAGAAGGUCUGACUGCUGCAGCUCAGGGGGCUCCAGCUGCUGCGGAGGGGGCUCUGGAGGGGGCUCCAGCUGCUGCGGAGGGAGCAGUAGUCAGUCCUCAGGAGGCUGCUGCGGAGGGGGCUCCAGCUAUGGAGGGGGCUAUGGUCAGUCCUCAGGAGGCUGCUGCGGAGGGGGCUCCAGCUAUGGAGGGGGCUAUGGUCAGUCCUCUGGAGGCUGCUGCGGAGGGGGCUCCAGCUAUGGAGGGGGCUAUGGUCAGUCCUCUGGAGGCUGCUGUGGAGGGGGCUCCAGCUAUGGAGGGGGCUGUGGCCAGUCCUCUGGAGGCUGCUGCUAAAGUGGACCCUGAGCCAAGAAGAGCAGCAUCAGAGGCACUAAAGGAGCAAGACCAUCUUCCUUGGGCCUGCCUGUGUUGCUGAGACAUUUUAGUGAAGAUUUCAAGUUCUGUUCUGGAAGAUUCUUCUGACUGGGAAUCCAGAAAUCUGUGUCCUCUUCGAACAUCUCAUCUCCCGACCUCUGAUCCCACCUUUGCAGCUUGCCCUGGGAACCCCAGAUUAUUUCUUUGGCUGGCCCCUUCUUGAAGGGAAACAAUAAAACAGUCUGCUCCCCAA